rnacentral:rRNA from 1 species
UACAGAGACUGCGAGCGUUAUUCGGAUUCACUGGGCGUAAAGGGUGCGCAGGCGGCCAAAUGUGUGAGGCGUGAAAGCCCAGGGCUUAACCCUGGAAUUGCACCUCAAACUAUUUGGCUAGAGCAUUGGAGAGGGAAGCGGAAUUCACGGUGUAGCAGUGAAAUGCGUAGAUAUCGUGAGGAACACCAGAGGCGAAGGCGGGAUCCUGGGCCAGUACUGACGCGUGAGGAGCGAAAGCGUGGGGAGCAAACAGGG